UGGGGAAUUUUGGACAAUGGGCGAAAGCCUGAUCCAGCCAUGCCGCGUGAGUGAAGAAGGCCUUCGGGUUGUAAAGCUCUUUUAGUCGGAAAGAAAGAGUUGCAAUGAAUAAUUGUGAUUUAUGACGGUACCGACAGAAAAAGCACCGGCUAACUACGUGCCAGCAGCCGCGGUAAUACGUAGGGUGCGAGCGUUAAUCGGAAUUACUGGGCGUAAAGGGUGCGCAGGCGGUCUUGCAAGUCAGAUGUGAAAGCCCCGGGCUUAACCUGGGAAUUGCGUUUGAAACUACAAGACUAGAGUGCAGCAGAGNGGAGUGGAAUUCCAUGUGUAGCAGUGAAAUGCGUAGAGAUGUGGAAGAACACCGAUGGCGAAGGCAGCUCCCUGGGUUGACACUGACGCUCAUGCACGAAAGCGUGGGGAGCAAACA
rnacentral:rRNA from 1 species